CCUACGGGGGGCUGCAGUGAGGAAUAUUGGUCAAUGGUCGGGAGACUGAACCAGCCAAGCCGCGUGAGGGAGGAAGGUCCAGAGUAUCGUAAACCUCUUUUGUCAGGGAACAAAGGCGGGUACGUGUCCCCGGCUGAGUGUACCUGAAGAAAAAGCAUCGGCUAACUCCGUGCCAGCAGCCGCGGUAAUACGGAGGAUGCGAGCGUUAUCCGGAUUUAUUGGGUUUAAAGGGUGCGCAGGCGGUCUGUUAAGUCAGCGGUCAAAGCCCGGGGCUCAACCCCGGCCCGCCGUUGAAACUGGCAGUCUCGAGUUGGAGAGAAGUAUGCGGAAUGCGCGGUGUAGCGGUGAAAUGCAUAGAUAUCGCGCAGAACUCCGAUUGCGAAGGCAGCAUGCCGGCUCCACACUGACGCUGAGGCACGAAAGCGUGGGUAUCGAACAGGAUUAGAUACCCCUGUAGUC
rnacentral:rRNA from 1 species